GUUUUAUCUGGAAAUUUUCUGUUGACAGGCCAAAGGGGCGGAGAACCAAAUUCCCCAGAUCCUUCAGUUUGCCUACAAUGAAAAGGGGAGAGAACACAUCAAGUGUUAAGCAGAAGGAAAACUCCAUUGAAUUAUGCCCAACUACACAGUCCAGCUCUACUGAUUUAUCUAUUAAUUUAAGCUCCAGUCACCAUGGAUAGAUCUAUCACUCUGAUACCAUUGCCACAAUGAAAUGAGUUGUUCACCUCAAGAAAAAGCCCAUGGACAAGGCUGCCUGGCUAUUCCUUUUCAAUACAGGACACACUGGUGAACGCAGGCAAAUACAGUUCAUUUUCUAUAGUGGUGGGGAAGAGAGGUGGUAUACCCCAGAAAAAAAAUCACAACAGAAAAACGAGUGUUAAGGAAUAAAACGCAGCUAUACAUGGAUGGCUAAGCUUGAAACCAGCCAGGCCCAGCACCACCACCACUGAGCCAGAUCUAAUUAGCCCAGUCAGACCUCAUCUGAAUCCUGCUGACCCAGAGGGCCUUAUUAAGUUGGGUGCAGAUCUGGACCUAAGAUGCCUGCAUGAAAACAUGUGAAUAUCCCCAGGCUCUAAAUUCAGUUUGCACUGUGGCUGUGCAAUUUGUUGUAUCUUGCAUGAGUCUGGCAUACAUAGCAUGUCUCUCUCACAUUUGGACAUAAGGCUUUGGCAGGAAAUGAAGAUACAUAUCCUUGAUCUGAAAUACAUACUCCAUGUUUUGUUUGUUUCAAUACUUGUAUUAGAAAAACUCAGCAUUUCUCACUCCAGAAAUGUAUUUGCAGGGUUAGUUAUCUACAGGAAGAUGUCUGCAAGUACCAUAGACACCAGAUAAAUAGCUGUCCUUAUCUCAAAGUGCAGCUUCUUUUGGCAAAUAAGUUUAUCUUGCCUGCCAAUCCCUUAAAAACUGUGCUGAAGCUAAAAUUCACACAACACUGUUACCCACCUGCUAAAAACAAAACCCAAAGAUUGAUCCUGUAUAAUUAAACACUUUCUGGGAAAGCAUCAGUAGGGAUUAUUUAUCCACAAAACACUACAAUUUCAAACUGUUUAAUUUAGCAUUGAAGAUGUCAAAAGUAACUGAAGUGAGACCAGGAUUUAAAUCAAAAUACUAGCACUGUACUCCUGCAGUAUAAACAGUACUGAAAUUUUAAAGAAGUUACCAAAUCAGGAAUAAAAGCAAAGAACUACUCUGCAUUUAGUAUUUUUAAACUGCCGUUUAGCAAGAUCAUGACAUUCCCUAAAGCAGCAUGUGAAAUAUUUUCUAUAUAUUCUCUACAGGAAGGAGAGAGAGUUGCUCUAACACUGAAAGAAGCUAAUUUGCAGAUUCUCUUGAUGCACCAUUUCCAUUACCAGUGAGGGGGAAAAAACACUGCAGAGAAACGCUGCAGAGAGCAAUGCACUUUACCUUACAAUAAAGCAAAGCUCCUUAGUCUCCUA